GAAAGCUUUUCAGUUGGGGAGAGGGUGUGGGGUCAUGAUUCGGUUUCAAUAAAGAUCUCUCACAGCAGAGUUCAGGGUCCAAAACUCUUGGUUUUAACCAAGAGAAUCAACAAAGGACACUGCCACAAGACCUAACAGAAGUCACUGCCACCUCCCUGCCAUGAUUUCCCGGGAGUGAUUCUAAAUGGAGCCCUGGACCUGCUGGAAAGACCAUGGCCUACUAUGUGCUCUGCCCUCUGCUGCUCAGUUCUGGGGACAAGCUGCUCUAUACCCUCAUGGUGAUGACAAUCCACAGAGGGAGGCCGGUGUUCAUCAGUAACCCACAGAGCUAUGUCUGACACCUGCUAUGGUACGAGUCUGUGCCAGAAUUUCUGCUGCACUCUGCCCCUGGCUGGGCCAGCUAUGGGAUGGAUUUCCAGCGCAGCACGGGUCCUAUCACGCUCCCUGAAGUCGAAGAUGGGCAAGAUGCAUUCUCAUGGAAUGCCCUUUCUCCUACUACCAUUUCUGUCUC
rnacentral:lncRNA from 1 species